rnacentral:ncRNA from 1 species
UAGCCCACAUGCUAGUUCAGGAACAACUUCAGGCUGGACAUUUAUCACCUACGCUCAGUCCUUGGAACACACCCAUCCUUGUAAUUAAGAAAAAAUCUGGCAACUGGAGGUUAUUACAAGAUCUCAGGCAAUUAAUUAUGUUACUGAGCCCAUGGGAGCCUUACAACAAGGGCUUUCUUCUACAGCUAUCCCUUUGAAUUAUCAUUUAAUAGUAAUAGAUUUAAAGAUUGUUUCUUUUCUAUACUUUUGCACUCAGACAACUGUAAAAGGUUUGCCUUCAG